rnacentral:lncRNA from 1 species
GUUUUUUUUAUUGAAUGCAGUAUCUUCAAGCUGUACUUCAAAGGUGGAGAUGGGGAACAGGUUUAAUGUCAGAUAGCUUGGAAAUGAUAGCAAAUCAUCAUUCCUUCUUAGAAACCCAUGGUGCCUUCUGUGUGUCAGAAGCUCUUGAGAUGUGCUGCAAACAGAUCUGUUUUGACCUGAAUCCCCUAAACUUUGAGUGCCUUUUAAAGAUGCAAUGCUGAUGAAUAAAACAGUAAGCUAGGAACACACUCUAGAACACUGGCAUGAAGACUGUGAGGCGGAUAUUCUGAGGACGUGAAAGUGCCCGGGGACGGAGCCCUGGGAAGGCUGGCGGAGAGAACACAGAUGGCAUUGGACAGCAGCACUCACCUGAGUUUUGAUCACACCUUGUAAAGACACUCAUGAAGGAGGACUUACAGACCUGCUUUAAAAAGUGAACAGGCUCGAGACAGACUGGGAGGAGAAAGUCGUGGGGCGUCAGGAAGAGCCCAAAGUGCUGCCACCCAGAGCCAAGGAGCGCUGAGGCUGGCUGGUGUUGCCAGAGGGAGGAAGAGGAUUGUCUCUGGAGGUUUCUGAGGGAGAUGGCCCUGCGACACCCUGAUCUCAGCUUCCAGCCUCCUGAACUGUGGGACCACAGACUUCUGUUGUUCAGAGGCACCAGUUGAAACGAUUCCAGGAGCCUCAACUAGCAAUCAAGUUGGGAGAAAAGUACACAGCACGUUCUCCAAACCCAGCCGUUCCUUGAGCUGUGGUGGGGCCCGGCACCCUUGUUUCCUUUCCCAGGAUUCACCGUGAGCGGUGGGCAGAGUCUGGGAACAGCCUAAUGACUGAGGACACUUCAUUCCCAGCGACCGAAGGGAUGAGUGAGAAUGCUGGCCAGUCUCAAGUGCUUCAUAAGGGCAGGAAUGGAGCUCGUGUGGAUCACCAAUACAUCCUCAGCUCUGAGCCACAGCCAAAGAAUACUUCUCAAGUGACUGAAUUCCUAUGUAUGGCAGUCAUUGGGGUAGAUGUUUACUACUAAAAAAUUGUGAGCUACUUUUUUGUCUCCAAGAAAAAUGUCCAAAGACCCAAACUUGAAAAGAGCAUAGAAACAAG